GUGAGGGAUUAGGGAAGAUGGGAAACUGGGUAUCGGGCAAGUAAGGGAUUCGGUGACUCCAGGAGCGUAAGGAGACAAUCUUUACUGGAGCCUUUUUGGGUGCGGCGGAUCGGCGGAGUCCGCAGGCGCAGCCGCGCUUCCCUGCGUCCAUCCUUGGCCCGGAGGGUCCCACCUCCCGGAUUCUCCAACUCUCCACGGCCCCGAGGACCUCCCGGGGGCGCCCUCUUCCCGGGCUGCAGAGUGGCAAGACGAGAACAUGCUUUGGACUGGUUAGGAAACCUCUCCUUGCUUUCCAGAGCUAGGGAGAGGUUUUUGUUUUUGUUUGGAUUGGAUUGAGUUUUUUUUUUAUUCCAUUCAUUCAGGAGCUGCGUGCUGAGUGUCCAGCCUACAAUAGGCAUCGGGAUUUCAGCCGCCUAAAGGGAGGGCAAAUCAGAAGCAAGAAUUGGCAGGCGUAGGUCCUUCUCCAACCGCAGAGGCUUUCCUGAACCGUGAGCUCAGUGUUAGGACUCUUGAAGAUGCGGCCCUGUGAAGGGUAGUUUGUGUUACCCGGAUGAGAGGCAGAGUCAGUGUCCUCAGUCAAGAAACCGCUGUGGAGCCUCUGAAAGACCCAGGCUCCCUGAGAGUGUACAUCCUGUCUCGCUAGAGCUUGGUGAAGAUCAGGCAAGACAAGCAAAGAUUAGGUCUUGCUAGGGCUUGGAUCGCCACUAUCAAAAGAGCGAGCAUUCCCUCUGGCUGCCCAAAGUGCUUUGUUAACUAGAUUAUGGGAAGUGGAAUCUGGUGCUGUUCCUCAAUGGUAGACAUGCCCGAGGCUCUGACUUUGAGCCCCAGCACUGCCAACAAGCCUACAAAUACCUAGGAUCAGAAAGGGCCCAGAGGUGAAGGCAGGAGUGGGGCUGGGGUAACAAGUAGCAUCAAGCAAGUUGUUGGGACUAGAGCAUGGCCGACACUCAGGGAGAAUUGUCACCGAUUGAUGUCUAUUGAGCAGAGAGAG
rnacentral:lncRNA from 1 species